rnacentral:rRNA from 1 species
GACGAACGCUGGCGGCGUGCUUAACACAUGCAAGUCGAGCGGUAAGGCCCUUUCGGGGGUACGACGAGCGGCGAACGGGUGAGUAACACGUGGGUGACCUGCCUUUAGCUCUGGGAUAAGCCUGGGAAACCGGGUCUAAUACCGGAUAUGACUCCGCGGCGCAUGUUGGUGGGGUGGAAAGCCUUGUGCGGCUGGAGAUGGGCCCGCGGCCUAUCAGCUU